AGAGAGAGAGAGAGAGAGAGAGAGCGAGUAGAGCUGGGGCCAAAUUUUGUCUAGUAGUUUGUACUAAAAGUUAACUAGUUAAUUAUAACACAAAACAUCAUGACAAACAUGUCCUUCAUUCUGCUCAGUGUCAUGCUAAUGGUCUCAGCGGCUUUUGCUGAACAUGAUGGAUUUUCAAUUUCAUCACAUGAGGGAAACCUAAACAUAGCUACAUUCAGUGCUCCACCAAAGUGGCAGAAGAACCAAAUACUUUGUUGCACUUGCCAAGAUUUUGUUAAACAAACAACACCCAAAGUUCACCUCAAGCUGCAGCAGAAUAUAAACAAGUUUUGCAACAUGUUCACCCCACAUGUGAAAAAUAAAUGUUUGGGGUUUGGAGGAAAACUCAAAGAAAAGAUUCUCAAGUUCCUUUUCCCCGGAAAAAACAUCAGAGAUACCUGUCAGAAAAGAAAGCUGUGUAUGUAUUAAUAAAGGCAAAAAAUAAACAAACAAAAAUCUUGAUUUUAUUAUAAAAAAUUGUGAUUAUCUAACAUCUCUAUAAUGUCUGUUUAUCCAAUAAAUGGGAAAUGAGCUAAAUUAUUUGCAGUUAUAAAAUAAUAUCAACCUUAAAUACUAGUCUAAAAUGUCUAAAAAUGUUUUCAAUGUUCCUUGGAAUUGUAUGUUUAUAAUACAAUUAAAAUGUGAGAUACAUUUAACUGAUCAUAUCAAAUGACUUUUGUUUCUUUUUUAAUUUUGAGCUAAAUGUUUUGUUGGUCAUUUUUUGUGCUUCUUUUUGUUUUUAUCUCAUUUUUAUAACUGUAAUUUCCCUGAUUUUGUUUAUACUUGUAUUGCAUUAUAGACUAUAAAUUUAUAUAAUGUAAUGUA